GGCGGCCACACCGGCAGCCGCGAGCAGCAGCCUCGGGAGCCGGAGCUGGAACGGCCGGGGGCGGCGGCGGCGGCGCUGAGGGAUCUAAAAUGUCCACUGAGGCACAAAGAGUUGAUGACAGUCCAAGUACUAGUGGAGGAAGUUCUGAUGGAGACCAACGUGAAAGUGUUCAGCAAGAACCAGAAAGAGAGCAAGUUCAGCCCAAGAAAAAGGAGGGAAAAAUAUCCAGCAAAACAGCUGCUAAAUUGUCAACUAGUGCUAAAAGAAUUCAGAAGGAACUUGCAGAAAUUACGUUGGACCCUCCUCCCAACUGUAGCAAAACAAAUACAGAAAAACAAGACCUGAGGUCGUGCUGUGCAAACCAACCGUUGGGAUCCAUCUGGUCCAACAACCUCAGCUCAUUGAGAAGAGGUGUAGCUGGCCUGCGAAAAGUAAUGCUUGCCUGCAUCCCAUCUGAUCUCCACAGACCACAUCAGAGAGCAUGUCACGUAAGGGAUUUACUGAAAGAUACUGAGGGCUUUGUGGAUUGCUGCUUCAAGAUAUUCAAUACAGUCAUGUGCUGCGUAAGGACGUUUUGGUCAACGAUGGACCGCAUAUACGACGGUGGUCCCCUAAGAUUAUAAUCGGAGCUGAAAGUUUCCUAUCGCCUAGUGACAUCGUAGCCGUCAUAAUGUUGCAUAGCUGAAGAAGGGGCAAGAGAAAAAGAAACUGCAAGAGAAGAAAAAGAAGAAGAACCUUCAAGAAAAUUCACAGUUUAGCAGAAACUUUUGCAGACCUUAAGAGGCUCCUUAAAAAGUUUGAAAACAUGGAUCCCAACACUGAAAAGUUUUCGUUAAUAGAGAGGAUUGUUCAUGGUGCAUUAUCUACCUACACACAAAUCUGUGAGGAAAAAAAACAAACCAAGCAAACCACCGUGGACAUAUUUCUGAAAAGAGUGACAGCUCCUCAAGAGGAGCCUUAGGCAGGUCCUUCAGGAGGUAUUCCAGAAGAAGGUAUUGUUAUCAUAAGAGAUGACAGCUCUAUGCGUGUUGUUGCCCUUGAAGACCUUCUAGUGGGAUAAGAUGUGGAGGUGGAAGACAGUGAUAUUGAUGAUUCUGACCCUGUGUAGGCCUAGGCUAAUGUGUGUGUGUCUUAGUUUUUAACAGAAAAGGUUAAAAGUUAAAAAAAAAAAAUAAAUUAAAAAUAGAGAAAAGCUAUAGAAUAAGGAUAUAAAGAAAAUAUUUUUGUACAGUUGUACAAUGUGUUUGUGUUUUAAGCUAAAUAUUAUUACAAAACAGUCAAAAAGUUACAAAAUUAAAAAGGUUUAUAAAGUAAAAAAGUUACAGUAAGCCAAGGUUAAUUUAUUACUGAAGAAAGGAAAGUAUUUUUACAAAUUUAGUGUAGCCUAGGUGUACAGUGGUGUACAGUGAUGUCCUAGACCUUUGCAUUCGCUCACCACUCACUCACUGACUCACCCAGAGCAACCUUCAGUCCUGCAAGCCCCAUUCACAGUAAGUGCCCUAUACAGGUGUACCAUUUUUUUAUCUUUUAUACUGUGUUUUUAUUGUACCUCUUCUAUGUUUAGAUACACAAAUACUUACCAUUGUGUUACAACUACCUACAGUAUUCAGUACAGUAACAUGCUGUAUAGGUUUGUAGCCUAGGAGCAAUAGGCUAUAACCAUAUAGCCUAGCUGUGUAGUAGGCUAUACCAUCUAGGGUUGUGUGAGUAUGUUCUGUGAUGUUCUCACAAUGAAAUUGCCUAACAACGCAUUUCUCAGAACGUAACCCCAUCGUUGAGUGAUGCAUGGCUGUAUCUAGGUUAGCCUGCUUUGUGUACUUGCUGCAGUUUUACAUUCAAGAUAAUUUAUGUUGGCUUAAACACUAAUACAAAGACCAGUCUGUUUAAAUGAGACAGAGAUUGGAAAUUUUGAGGUGUUCUGUCACUGCCAUUGAUUUUGUAUUCCCAGUUCAGUAGAUUUUCUGACAGACAUUUUACUGUCACGUGGUUGGAGAAAACCACGACCGAGCAUAAAUGGGUCUUUAAAUAUAUUUUCCUGUCAAAAUAAUUUAAUUUGUCUGUAGGAAUUUGCGAAAGCUUGUGGCUUUUAUGUCUUGUAGAUACUUAUAAAAUCAGAAUCCUACUUUAUUUCUCAAGAAGUGACUUAUGAGAAGGAAUAUAGUUCAUUGCAACUGUUUUUUUUCCUUCCUUCCUUUUCUUUUCCUUUCUUUUUUCUUUUUCCUUUUUGGUAACAAUUAUUAUUUCCCUGUACCUUGGAAUACCUAAACCAACAUAUUAGCAAACUAGUGAUUUCAAAAGCAUGAUAUAAAAACUGAACAAUAUUAAUUCUUACAGAAAUAAAAGAACAAUAUUCCUCUCUCACUUUUACUAAUAAGUGAAAAUGAAACAGUCUCUCUCAAGAGCACAGCAUGUAUCAUAAGAGGAAGAACCGGUCUUGCUUUAAUUGAUGGCUGACAACGAUGAAGACAGUAUUUGAUGUCUUGAGGCAUCACGGAGGCUUACACUACCUACUGUGUCACCAAUUUUUUGAGCAAAGAAGAGCUAAGUCAAACGUUUGUACCUUUUACCCUGUUCAUAAUAAUGAUUGUGACUUUUGAAUAAAACAAUCAUUUAUUAAAUUUAAUUUCCCAAAAUGGUAGCUACACUGCAUAAAAUUAAAAAUGCAUUAAUGUAUAUUUUGCCUUGUUAGAAAUAAGCAAACUACACGUUCACUUUUAUUUUACUCAAAUGUAAAAGAAGUAAAAAUAAUGAGCUUGAAGUGACAAAGUUUUACUAUACUUGAUAUUAUUACUAUAAAUAUUUACUCUGGAUUCAAGCUAAGUGUAAAAUAUAUGGUAAAAGCAAGCCUAAUGAAUUCUAAAUAAUUGUUAAAAUCUUGAAAGAUUAUUUUAAAUGUAUAAAAUAUAUGUAUAAUCACUAAAGCAAAUAAAAGUAAAACUGGAAGUUUAGAUACAUCAAA